AGCGAACGCUGGCGGCAGGCCUAACACAUGCAAGUCGAACGAACCUUUCGGGGUUAGUGGCGGACGGGUGAGUAACACGUGGGAACGUGCCUUUAGGUUCGGAAUAACUCAGGGAAACUUGUGCUAAUACCGAAUGUGCCCUUCGGGGGAAAGAUUUAUCGCCUUUAGAGCGGCCCGCGUCUGAUUAGCUAGUUGGUUGAGGUAAUGGCUCACCAAGGCGACGAUCAGUAGCUGGUCUGAGAGGAUGAUCAGCCACAUUGGGACUGAGACACGGCCCAAACUCCUACGGGAGGCAGCAGUGGGGAAUCUUGCGCAAUGGGCGAAAGCCUGACGCAGCCAUGCCGCGUGAAUGAUGAAGGUCUUAGGAUUGUAAAAUUCUUUCACCGGUGACGAUAAUGACGGUACCCGGAGAAGAAGCCCCGGCUAACUUCGUG
rnacentral:rRNA from 1 species